rnacentral:rRNA from 1 species
GAUGAACGCUGGCGGCGUGCCUAAUACAUGCAAGUCGAGCGAAUGGAUUAAGAGCUUGCUCUUAUGAAGUUAGCGGCGGACGGGUGAGUAACACGUGAGUAACCUGCCCAUAAGACUGGGAUAGCUCCGGGAAACCGGGGCUAAUACCGGAUAACAUUUUGAACCGCAUGGUUCGAAAUUGAAAGGCGGCUUCGGCUGUCACUUAUGGAUGGACCCGGGUCGCAUUAGCUAGUUGGUGAGGUAACGGCUCACCAAGGCAACGAUGCGUAGCCGACCUGAGAGGGUGAUCGGCCACACUGGGACUGAGACACGGCCCAGACUCCUACGGGAGGCAGCAGUAGGGAAUCUUCCGCAAUGGACGAAAGUCUGACGGAGCAACGCCGCGUGAGUGAUGAAGGCUUUCGGGUCGUAAAACUCUGUUGUUAGGGAAGAACAAGUGCUAGUUGAAUAAGCUGGCACCUUGACGGUACCUAACCAGAAAGCCACGGCUAACUACGUGCCAGCCGCCGCCGUAA